rnacentral:rRNA from 1 species
UACGUAGGCGGAAGAUUAAGUCAGUGGUGAAAUCCUGCAGCUUAACUGUAGAACUGUCAUUGAUACUGAUUUUCUUGAAUUUAGUUGAGGUAGGCGGAAUGUGUAAUGUAGCGGUGAAAUGCUUAGAUAUUACACAGAACACCGAUUGCGAAGGCAGCUUACUAAGCUAACAUUGACGCUGAGGCACGAAAGCGUGGGGAGCGAACAGGAUUAGAUACCCUGGUAGUCC